rnacentral:rRNA from 1 species
GCAAUGCGUGGCAUACGGCUCAGUGACACGUAGUCAACAUGCCCAGGGGACGCGGAUAACCUCGGGAAACUGAGGAUAAACCGCGAUAGGCCAAGGUUUCUGGAAUGGACACUGGCUGAAACCUACAUGGCCCCUGGAUUGGACUGCGGCCGAUCAGGCUGUUGGUGAGGUAAUGGCCCACCAAACCUGUAACCGGUACGGGCUUUGAGAGAAGGAGCCCGGAGAUGGGCACUGAGACAAGGGCCCAGGCCCUAUGGGGCGCAGCAGGCGCGAAAAUUCUGCAAUAGGCGAAAGCUUGACAGAGUUACUCUGAGUGAUGCCCGCUAAGGGCAUCUUUUGGCACCUCUAAAAAUGGUGUAGAAUAAGGGGUGGGCAAGUCUGGUGUCAGCCGCCGCGGUAAUACCAGCACCCCGAGUGGUCGGGACGAUUAUUGGGCCUAAAGCAUCCGUAGCUUGUUCUGCAAGUCUUCCGUUAAAUCCACCUGCUCAACAGAUGGGCUGCGGGAGAUACUACAGGGCUAGGAGGCGGGAGAGGCAAGCGGUACUCAGUGGGUAGGGGUAAAAUCCUCUGAUCCACUGAAGACCACCAGUGGCGAAGGCGGCUUGCCAGAACGCGCUCGACGGUGAGGGAUGAAAGCUGGGGGAGCAAACCGGAUUAGAUACCCGGGUAGUCCC